CUAGACGCGGGGCUGGGUGGGAACCUCUCUGACAUCGUCGUGUACCCAUUGCAUCUUUCAACCUUGGCCACUUUUCCCAAGUACAUAAAGACUCGGGGGAAAAAGAGCACCUGCGGUGGUCCAUGAAGGCCAUGUGAAGGCAUGCAUUAUCACUGCUACAUUAAGGAGCAUGUGGUGGCUAUUGGGAGCAUGAUUAAACAGUGGAUAACUUGAUGGUCCUGAAGUCAGGAAGAAGUCUGGGCCAGGACAUCGGCAAUAUACAGUGAGAAAUGUGUAUUCACUGAGGAGUUUUCCUCCUCACCUUCCCCAAGACCUGGAUUUUUCCUCCCACCUCCACUCCAGAAGCGAGUCCUUCAGGGCUGAUUCCACCUUCAAAUGAGCCUGCUACUGAACAUCCAGGACCACAGCAAGAAACCUGACAUUAUUUUUGCUCUCUUCAAAAAUAAUUCUGACUGAUCUCAUUUUCAAUUUAAAGUAACUGCAGUUACGGUAUAACUU